GGUUAGUACUUGGAUGGGAGACCGCCUGGGAAUACC
rnacentral:piRNA from 1 species